UACAGGGGGUGGCAAACAGUUGCUCGGAAUCAUUGGGCGUAAAGCGCACGUAGGCGGCCAACUAAGUCAGACGUGAAAUCCCUCAGCUUAACUGGGGAACUGCGUCUGAUACUGGAUGGCUUGGAUUUGGGAGAGGGAUGCGGAAUUCCAGGUGUAGCGGUGAAAUGCGUAGAUAUCUGGAGGAACACCGGUGGCGAAGGCGGCACUCUGGGCCGAUACUGACACUGAGGAGCGAAAGCGUGGGGAGCGAACAGG
rnacentral:rRNA from 1 species